rnacentral:rRNA from 1 species
GGCGUAGCAAUACGUCAGCGGCAGACGGGUGAGUAACGCGUGGGAACGUACCUUUUGGUUCGGAACAACACAGGGAAACUUGUGCUAAUACCGGAUAAGCCCUUACGGGGAAAGAUUUAUCGCCGAAAGAUCGGCCCGCGUCUGAUUAGCUAGUUGGUGGGGUAACGGCCCACCAAGGCGACGAUCAGUAGCUGGUCUGAGAGGAUGAUCAGCCACAUUGGGACUGAGACACGGCCCAAACUCCUACGGGAGGCAGCAGUGGGGAAUAUUGGACAAUGGGCGCAAGCCUGAUCCAGCCAUGCCGCGUGAGUGAUGAAGGCCCUAGGGUUGUAAAGCUCUUUUGUGCGGGAAGAUAAUGACGGUACCGCAAGAAUAAGCCCCGGCUAACUUCGUGCCAGCAGCCGCGGUAAUACGAAGGGGGCUAGCGUUGCUCGGAAUCACUGGGCGUAAAGGGUGCGUAGGCGGGUCUUUAAGUCAGGGGUGAAAUCCUGGAGCUCAACUCCAGAACUGCCUUUGAUACUGAAGAUCUUGAGUUCGGGAGAGGUGAGUGGAACUGCGAGUGUAGAGGUGAAAUUCGUAGAUAUUCGCAAGAACACCAGUGGCGAAGGCGGCUCACUGGCCCGAUACUGACGCUGAGC